CAAAGAUAGUGUUAGGGCUGAGAAAAGUGGGUAUCUUGUAAAGUAAGGCAACACAGAAACAGAGAGAGGUAAUGCUUAAUUUUUAUCACCUCUAUUUUCGAAGGGUUGGGCAAGUAGACUGAGGAGAGCUUGCUCCAUCUUAAGAUCCUGCGUUUAUGUUCAUAACACUGUCCAUACUCCAUUUUUGUUCAUACCCUUCAGCUUUUUCUUCAUCAUCAGUGGAGACUCCAACGUGUUUCCCUGAAUCUCCAUUAUCACAUGAAGAUCCUCUUGAUUCUUGUCCAUUUUUCUCAUCCUUGUUAACACCAUUGUCAUUGGUAAAGAAAGGGUCAAAAGGAGGGAUGAUUUCCUCAUUCACAUUAGUUAGCUUCCAAUAACCGGCGAAAUUCCAAACGAUCUUUUGUAUUUAAGGAUUCAGAUAUUUAUGCUUCACAGAAAUCUUUAUUUCUCCUCUUCAUAAUUUAGUACAUUAUGGGUUUGAAAUACUAAACACAAUGAAUUAGUCAAAAUAUACUAUCUCCUUUCGACAGAGAAAUAUUUUUUAAAAAAAAUUCAAAAAAAUAUAUCUUUUAUGUUUUAUAUAAAUUUUAUUGAAAAAUGAUAAUCACAGAAAAUGAUAUAUUUAUAAUUCAAAUGUAAUACUUUUAGUGUGUAAACAAAUGAAAACUUUAUUUUUUUGUAGAAUGAAAGAUAUAUUAAACAAAUAUAAAAAUUAUAAUUAGUUGAGGUCAAGCAAAUUAAAAUAAUAAAGUCAGAAUUAUGGAGAACUUAACUAGUAAAAAAGAACAAAAAAAGUUUUCACCAAGUUCCAUGCUGCAGUAGCAAAUACAGCAUAUUCCUUACCGAUGAGUUAAUAUUUUUUUGUCGGUAUGCAUGCUGGGACUACUUUGUGAUAAAGUGGUGAAACAAUUUUUGGUGGGUUUUUUGAUGGAGAUGUUUGCUAGUAUUAAAUUUCGAAGGGUGAUGCAGAUGAAAAUGCAGAUCAUAUGAGUAUCUGAAAUGAAUAUUAAAUAUAUUAUGCAUGCAGAAUAAACAUAUAUAUAGUUAUUUUUGUAAAAGAUUAAAAAUAGAUAUAGUUUAUCAAAAUAACUUACUGUAUUAUUAUAUUUGACUGAAUAUCAUUAUUCAAAGAAAAAAUAUUUGACUGAAUAUUUAAUAUAAAAUUAUGUAAAUAUUAAACAUAAUUGAUUGAAAACACUUAUUAAAAUGCACCUUUUUAUUUUGGAUGUGAAGAUAACUUGAAUAAUAUAAAAACUAAUUAAACACAAAAUAAAAAUAUUGACAUGUACUAAAAUAUAUAUGUAAGAACAAAUAAAAAUUAUGUUCAAUAUUUCAUGAUCUAAAAAUAUUAAAUAAUUGUAAAGUAUCUACUUAAAUUUAUAAUAAAUAUAUGAAUUAUCAAUAACAUGCAUAAAUCCAUUAACUGAUUUAUUUAAGAGUAUUAUGAUAUAAAUUUUAAUUUUUUUACACAAUUAUUAAUUAUUUUAUUUAUGUCAAUAAUCAGCAACAAUAAAAUUAAAAUAAACUAUGAAAAAUAUGUUUGUCUAUUUUUCAAAUAUUAAAUAUAAAUUGAUUUUUUAGUUUGUAAUACCAUAGAAGUUAUGGGUCUAGAUCACCAUGUACUUAAAAAGGAAAAAUUAUUCCUUAAAAUAUGCGAAACAAUUAAAAUCUAUGAUUUUUAGAACUUUUCCAAUUGUUACUCUGAAAUUUAUUCUCAAAAUGAAUUUGACAUUUUCUCCAAUUACUCCCAUUAUCAUUUCAAAAUCCAUUCCAAAUAUAAAUUACUAGUACUUAUUAUUAAUUAUAAUAAUGCUUUGUUUUAAAUUUAUAAAUUUUAUCCAAUUAUAAUUUUAUUUUACUAAACUUUUAUUAUAUACAUUAAUUUAGUUUAUAAUAUAAUAAACAAUAAUUUAUAUGAACUUAUAAUUGUAUUAGUGAAAGUAUUAAUAAUUUCAUUAAAAUAUAAACUGCACUCCUUCGUAUAGUGAAACAAAUAUUUAAUUUUUAAAUAUAAAAAGUUAUAUUAAAAUUAAAGGAACAAUUUGUAAUAAAAAAUUUUAAUAAUAAAAAUGAGGUUGUUAAGUGUUCCCUCAAAUUUGAAUAGAUUUGAGGAGUCCAUCCCUACUCUAUUUCUAAACUGCACUCCUUCGUAUAGUGAGGAGUCCAUCCCUACUCUUUUUUUUUUUUUUUUUUCUUUUCAUUUCUCCAAGUUUGCAUCCAUUUGUUUCUCACAGAUAAUAAGCUCUGAUCUGCUCAACCAUUUGAAGCAAAUACACGGGAGCUCUUACGAAGAAUUUAUGAAAAGCAAGUUGAUUCCAAUACAUGGAGACAUUGGCGAAGACAUUCUUGUGAUGAGAUUGAUGUCGUUAUAAGCUGUGCAGGUCGCACAACAUUUGUCGACAGAUAUGACCUUGCUUUAAAUGUCAACGCUCUUGGACCUGGUCGGCUCUUGAGCUUUGCCAAGAACUGCAAGAAACUGAAACUUUUUCUCCAUUUCUCAACUGCUUAUGUGACUGGUAAGAAAGAGGGAUCAAUACUAGAGACUCCUCUCUGCCUUGGAGAAAACAUAACUUCUGACCUAAGCAUCGAAAAUGAGCUGAAACUAGCUUCAGAAGCUGUAAGAAAGCUACAAGGUAGUAGAGAAAUCAAGAAGUUGAAAGAACUUGGUAUGCAAAGAGCUUAACACUAUGGCUGGGAAAACACUUACACGUUCACAAAAGCAUUGGGUGAGAGUUUAAUCCAAACUAUGCGAGAAGAUGUGCCUGUAGUAAGGCCUAGUAUUAUAGAAAGCUCUUACAAGGAGCCUUUCCCCGGCUGGAUCCAAGGAAUAAGCAAUCAUGCCUCGCCGUCGAUUAAGCACAUACGCCGAUUAGAAGGGGGGUAGGAGAGCUCGCGACCAACCGACAUCGAUGCCGGCGCGGAUGAGCCUCCACCCUAAACGAGAUCUGAAGACGAGGGAAUUUGUUUGAGAGAAGAGCGUGGGACGCAUGCCACUCAAAGGCUUGCUUUGUUUUAUAUAUAUAUAUAUUAUAUUUUUCUAAUACUAUUUUAAAAGAUAAUAUUUUUAACACAAUAAUUUGAGACUCCAAAUUUUCGGACACUGUACAUGUUUAGAGAUUCAACUUAAGCUUACCAGUAGUCAAUGAUACUGAUUCUAGUCGA